CAAAUAUGAACUUGAGGAUGUUUUUGUAGUUGGCCAUGUACACACUGAAGCCAUACCUCAAUUCUUUAAAAUCAAGUAUAUUUUGAAUGUUGAUACUUGUUGGGUAUUGUGUGGGAAACUGUUACUUCCUUGCACUUGUGAAUGUCAUUUCCAUGCUUACCAAGUGGCAGUUGACAAUGACUGGAUCCUGUUCAAUCCAGGAAAUGAAUUAGACUUUCAAGCUCUAGACACCUAUGAAGUUGAUGAUAGGCGGUUUGUGUCCUUGAGGUAUUCUGUGUGACGUGAUUGCAAGAACAUUUUUAUGUAUGUUUGUAUGUAUGUGUGUGUGUGCGUGCGUGCGUAUGUAUGUGCGUGCUUGUUGAAGUAGAGCAAAACAUUUGUGUGGACAGUUUUUUAAAUACAUGCCAUCUCUGUGAUCCGUCAAAACAUUGUGUUCAGGUGUUUAAUGUCUUUAUGUGAUUGUUUACUUUCUUUCUUCUUCUUUUUUUUUUUUUUUUUUUAAAUGAAUGUAUUUUUCUUGACAUGUCCUAUGGCAGGGGUGUCAAACUCAAAUACACAGUGGGCCAAAAUUCAAAUCUAGAACAAGGUCGCGGGCUAACAUUAAUAUUUAUUGAAAAAUAUCUUCCUCCAGAUAUAAGAAUGAAUCUCUUCUUAUGGACUCAAACAAGUUUUGGUGAAAAACUGAAUGUGGAACAAGCAAAGCUUAAUACUAAACAAUGUAUAUAUUAGCUGUAUAAUACCAGUAGGCCAGCUCUAAUAGUAAUCUGGUAUGGCUUCGCGGGCCAAAUGUAAUUAGGCUGCGGGCCAAAUUUGGCCCGCGGGCCAGAGUUUGACACCUAUGUCCUAUGGCAAUAUACGAAUGUAAUCAAGGAUGUAUUCCUGUGGUUGUUUAAGUGCUUUGAUGUGAUUCUAUUAUCGAAAAUAAAUGGUUAAAUAACCAAAUAUUUUGGACUAUUGGCGGUACAUUUUUGUCUCUUUAGGUACGAAAUAGGUUGUCGCUGGGGGGGUACCCUCAUAGGUACCCUAUUGUACCCUUUUCAAGGGAACAUUUCUGUACUAUAGUUUCAAGGUACA
ensembl:lncRNA